GCAUAGUUAGUUCAAUGGUAGAACAGUCGUCUUCUAAGCAAUGAAUACAAGUUCGAUUCUUGUACUAUGCU
rnacentral:tRNA from 1 species